rnacentral:lncRNA from 1 species
GGCUGGGUCAGGGACUGGUGUGGGGCUGGCAGCAGCUCCUGACUCUUGGCUUCUCUCUUUUCUGCCCAGGAGUUUCUCUCACGCCUGAAGGGCAACAUCGAUUACUGGAUUGGGCUGCGGAGACGGGGUGAGCACCUGGAGUGGGUGGACGGCAGCAGCUUCAACCAGACGUGAGUCCCGUUGGGAGCCGGGGCCGUGGGGAGACCGUCCUGUGGUGGGAUGGGCAGGGUCCUGGUGGGAGGUGUGUGCUGGGGCUUUCCCUUGCAGGCAGCCCUUGUCUUCUCCUGGGGCUCGUGGGGACAGCCCUGACCCCCACAGUACCAGUGUUGUCUGUGCUGCUUGUUGCAGGAUCCCAGUGGUGGGAGAAGAACCUUGUCUGUUCCUCAAUGAUCACGAUCUCCUGAGUGCCUGAGAGACGGCACUAUCUCUGCAGCAAACCUAUGCUCCAGUGAGAACCACUUGACAGAAGUGGUGGAGAAAGGCCCUUCUCCAUGGUGGGGACUCACAGCUUCCCCUCUUCCAGCAGCACAGAGUGGUGCAGGGAUGUCCUUCCCUCAGCUGCUGCUCUGGUUGCUCCUGGUCUCAGCAGAAACUCGCUGCCAGCUCUCAGGAGAUGAACCUGCAGGUCAGGAGCUGUGGUGGGAGCUGCCAUGUGCCUGCCUGGGCUGGGACCCCCACCAUGGAACUGGUUUCUCUUUCCUUCUCUCUGGGACCAUCCCAGAACUCUUCUUGUUUGUGCCAGAGGUCACAUUGUCCCAGUAUGAGGUAGAAAAGAACCAACUUUCUCUUCAGUCGUUUUAUGUCUUAGCUACUCCUCUUCUGCUUAUUUACCUGCAUAUUUUGUAAGAAAAUCCUGUUAAUACUUAGAGCGAUUAGACUGAUGUUGAUAGUUCCUGCCAAGGAAUGGGGUGCAGAGAGAGUCUUCCUCAUAUUUACUGCUCUAACAACCAAGGUAACUGUUCUUUGCCCCACUGGAGGGUUGGAAGUAGAAGAGCGUUGAGGGGUCACUGCUGUGGCGAGGAGCAGACAGGAUGGUGGCCUCAAAACUGACCAAAGGGGUGUUCCAUCCCAUCUGCCCCAUGCUGAGUGUAAAAGCUGAGGGAUCAAAGGGUCAGCUCUUUCUUCCAUGGCUGAUAUCUGCAGAGGACCCUGUCUGUUUGUCUGCUCUUGAUCCCCAUCCCUGUGUUCCUGACUCCAGACUGGGUAUCUAGUUCCUGUCCAUGGCUGAGUCCAGUCUGGGACUUCCCGAGUGCUGCCAGUGCCUUCAUCCUGGAACCUUGAUACAACUUUGUAUAUAUUGCAUCUAUUUUGUUAUUUCUAUUUUAAUUUAUUAAAGCAUUUUCGUUUGUUCUCAACUUGUAAAUCUCUUUCUCUCUCCUCCUCUUCUCCUUGGAGUGAGAGGUGGGGGAGAGCACCUGUCGUCAUAUCAUUGGCCAAUUCGGCUGAAAUCACAACCCAGAAGGCUUCUUUUAAGCUGUGGCUUUGGUGCUGGAGCAGCUGCUUCCCCCCA